ACUUUCACAUUCUUUAAGCAGUAUUGCUGUCUUUUCUUGACAGCCGCCUUCCAAGUUCCAACCUUUUUCUUUGAUUUCCUCUGCCAACUUGACGAUUUUAUAUUGUGUUUGCUUAUUUACCGUCAAUUUCUUUGCUGGUGGAGCCUAAAAUCUAUAUUCUGCCUGCUUAUUUAUCCUUGCAGAAGUCUGAAUAUUUCCCGGGGACCUGAAUUCUCAUUCAUUGCUUAGUCCUCUUCGCAACGAAUACACUGAAUAGGAGAUGAGAAUACUUAGGUAACUCUGAAUCUUUGGUUCCGUUUGGUUUUCUUUCUUCGCCAUUGGAUUAAUCUUUGGUUCCGUUUGGUUCUUUCUUUGCCAUUGGAAAUCUAUGUAUCUUAUUAUUGUUGUUGACUAUCAGUGUGCUAGAGUUUCUGAAUUGAUGGACUGCUCACCAAGCAUCUGUGACGAGAAAUCCUUGAAGAAGUGGUUUUUC
rnacentral:lncRNA from 1 species